GAUCGGGAUGGAGAGAAGGAAGGUGACCAGGUUGAGGAUCCCCACCAGGUUGUUGCUGACGCGGAACAUGAUUGGUGGCUUUGGCUAGAGCUUUCGAGUCACGCCGAUCGAAUAGCGGGGAAAUUCUUAUCGAGCAGCACAUUGCCUAUCACCCUCAAACGGAUGGC